UCUUUUUUACGACUCCCCUUGUCUUUCUGGACACAAGUGUGGCUGGCUGAGACAGAUCUCAAAAGCAUGUAUGUUAUGUUUUCUCAAAGUGUCUGCAUUGGAUCCUGGGAGAGAUUUUGUAGCCCUAUCAAAAUUCCCCUUGGGUGAAGGCUUCAGGAAGAAGUGGCAACCACAUACACAGCAAAACUAGCUGUUGAGGAUGGCUCUGGG